AUUGAACGCUGGCGGCAGGCCUAACACAUGCAAGUCGGACGGUAGCACAGAGAGCUUGCUCUCGGGUGACGAGUGGCGGACGGGUGAGUAAUGUCUGGGGAUCUGCCCGAUAGAGGGGGAUAACCACUGGAAACGGUGGCUAAUACCGCAUAACGUCGCAAGACCAAAGAGGGGGACCUUCGGGCCCCUCACUAUCGGAUGAACCCAGAUGGGAUUAGCUAGUAGGCGGGGUAACGGCCCACCUAGGCGACGAUCCCUAGCUGGUCUGAGAGGAGGACCAGCCACACUGGAACGGAGACACGGUCCAGACUCCUACGGGAGGCAGCAGUGGGGAAUAUUGCACAAUGGGCGCAAGCCUGAUGCAGCCAUGCCGCGUGUAUGAAGAAGGCCUUCGGGUUGUAAAGUACUUUCAGCGGGGAGGAAGGCGAUAAGGUUAAUAACCUUGUCGAUUGACGUUACCCGCAGAAGAAGCACCGGCUAACUCCGUGCCAGCCGCCGCGGUAA
rnacentral:rRNA from 1 species